CCUCAUCCUUCCACGCCAGAGGUCCAGGGCUUCUUUUUCAUUAACGUCUCCUUCUCUUUUCUUCUUUUUUCAUUUGCUAGAUCUAAAUCUCUCUCUUCUCUUCUCUCUCCCAACUACCCAAGUUUUGCUCUACUCAUGAAGAGAGGAGUGCUAUUAAGUAUCACUUAUUCAGUAUGAGAGCUAAGUGAAGAAAAAGGGUAUGUAGAGGUUAAACACCAAAUUCAAUAAGUUGGUUUAGAACAAUCAAAUCAUUUACUGAAAAUGGCUUGAAUUAUCA